GAUGAACGCUAGCGAUAGGCUUAACACAUGCAAGUCGAGUUGCAGCACAAGUUAGCUUGCUAUCUGGGUGGCGACCGGCGCACGGGUUCGUAACGCGUAUGCAACUUGCUCUAUACAGGAGGAUAACCCGUCGAAAGUCGGACUAAUACUGCUUAUGCUCACAUCUUGGCAUCAAGUGGUGAGGAAAGAAAUUCGGUAUAGGAUAGGCAUGCGUCCCAUUAGCUUGUUGGUGAGGUAACGGCUCACCAAGGCAACGAUGGGUAGGGGAACUGAGAGGUUUUUCCCCCACACUGGUACUGAGACACGGACCAGACUCCUACGGGAGGCAGCAGUGAGGAAUAUUGGUAAAUGGGCGCGAGCCUGAACCAGCCAAGUCGCGUGAAGGAUGACUGUCUUAUGGAUUGUAAACUUCUUUUAUACGGGAAUAACAAGAGUCACGUGUGACUCCCUGAAUGUACCGUAUGAAUAAGCAUCGGCUAACUCCGUG
rnacentral:rRNA from 1 species